GACGAACGCUGGCGGCGUGCUUAACACAUGCAAGUCGAACGGAAAGGCCCUGCUUUUGUGGGGUGCUCGAGUGGCGAACGGGUGAGUAGCACGUGAGUAACCUGCCCUUGACUUUGGGAUAACUUCAGGAAACUGGGGCUAAUACCGGAUAGGAGCUCCUGCUGCAUGGUGGGGGUUGGAAAGUUUCGGCGGUUGGGGAUGGACUCGCGGCUUAUCAGCUUGUUGGUGGGGUAGUGGCUUACCAAGGCUUUGACGGGUAGCCGGCCUGAGAGGGUGACCGGCCACAUUGGGACUGAGAUACGGCCCAGACUCCUACGGGAGGCAGCAGUGGGGAAUAUUGCACAAUGGGCGGAAGCCUGAUGCAGCAACGCCGCGUGCGGGAGGACGGCCUUCGGGUUGUAAACCGCUUUCGCCGGUGACGAAGCGUGAGUGACGGUAAUGGGUAAAGAAGCACCGGCUAACUACGUG
rnacentral:rRNA from 1 species